UACUAUACUAGGUGUAAAUAAAAUUACUUGAAUAUUAUUAGAUAUAUUCUUUAAGCUUAAAGAAUUUGGCGGUGAUUCAGUCUAGUUAGAGGAACCUGUUUUUAAAUUGAUACUCCGCAAAAUAUCUUACUUGCUUUUGUUUUCAACAGUAUGUAUACCGUCAUUAUCAGAUAAUUUCAAGAGAAUGAUUAUUAAAUUUUAUAGAUUUAAAUAAAUUAGAUCAAGGUGCAGCUAAUAAGUAAGUUAAAAUGGGUUACAAUAAUGUAAAAUUACACGGAUAAGAUCUUGAAAUAGAAUUUUUAAGGAGGAUUUAAUUGUAAUAAGACUUUACUAUGAUCAAAAGAUAUAAGUUCUGAAUCAU
rnacentral:rRNA from 1 species